GAAAUGCGAUAAGUAGUGUGAAUUGCAGAAUUCAGUGAAUCAUCGAAUCUUUGAACGCACAUUGCGCCCCUUGGUAUUCCAUGGGGCAUGCCUGUUCGAGCGUCAUUUGUACCCUCAAGCUCUGCUUGGUGUUGGGUGUUUGUCCCGUCUCCGCGCGUGGACUCGCCCCAAAGUGAUUGGCAGCCGGCGUACUGGUCCCGGAGCGCAGCACAUGUCGCGCAAACGAGUGCCUUGGUACGGCGGCGUCCAAAGCCCCUCUCUCACGCUCUUGACCUCGGAUCAGGUAGGGAUACCCGCUGAACUUAAGC
rnacentral:misc_RNA from 1 species